UACGUAGGGAGCAAGCGUUGUUCGGAUUUACUGGGCGUAAAGGGCGCGUAGGCGGCGCUGUAAGUCACUUGUGAAAUCUCUGAGCUUAACUCAGAACGGCCAAGUGAUACUGCAGUGCUAGAGUGCAGAAGGGGCAAUCGGAAUUCUUGGUGUAGCGGUGAAAUGCGUAGAUAUCAAGAGGAACACCUGAGGCGAAGGCGGGUUGCUAGGCUGACACUGACGCUGAGGCGCGAAAGCGUGGGGAGCAAACGGG
rnacentral:rRNA from 1 species